rnacentral:rRNA from 1 species
AUCGUAACUCCUACGGGAGGCAGCAGUAGGGAAUCUUCGGCAAUGGACGAAAGUCUGACCGAGCAACGCCGCGUGAGCGAAGAAGGCCUUCGGGUCGUAAAGCUCUGUUGUUAGAGAAGAACAUGGGUGAGAGUAACUGUUCACCCCUUGACGGUAUCUAACCAGAAAGCCACGGCUAACUACGUGCCAGCAGCCGCGGUAAUACGUAGGUGGCAAGCGUUGUCCGGAAUUAUUGGGCGUAAAGCGCGCGCAGGCGGUCUCUUAAGUCUGAUGUGAAAGCCCCCGGCUCAACCGGGGAGGGUCAUUGGAAACUGGGAGACUUGAGGACAGAAGAGGAGAGUGGAAUUCCAAGUGUAGCGGUGAAAUGCGUAGAUAUUUGGAGGAACACCAGUGGCGAAGGCGGCUCUCUGGUCUGUUACUGACGCUGAGGCGCGAAAGCGUGGGGAGCAAACAGGAUUAGAAACCCUUGUAGUCCUAGAGC